rnacentral:rRNA from 1 species
UAAAGUGGCGCACGGGUGAGUAACGCGUGGGUAAUCUACCUUCGAAUUGGGGAUAACGUUGCGAAAGCGACGCUAAUACCGAAUAACAUCCAUUUGUCUUCGGACUUUUGGAUCAAGGGUGGCCUCUUCUUGAAAGCUACUGUUUGAAGAUGAGCCCGCGUACCAUUAGCUUGUUGGUGGGGUAAUGGCCUACCAAGGCGACGAUGGUUAGCUGGUCUGAGAGGAUGAUCAGCCACACUGGAACUGACACACGGUCCAGACUCCUACGGGAGGCAGCAGUGAGGAAUUUUGCGCAAUGGGGGAAACCCUGACGCAGCAACGCCGCGUGAGUGAUGAAGGCUUUCGGGUCGUAAAGCUCUGUCAAGUGGGAAGAACCUAUAUAAUGUUAAUAUCAUUAUAUACUGACGGUACCACUGAAGGAAGCACCGGCUAACUCCGUGCCAGCAGCCGCGGUAAUACGGGGGGUGCAAGCGUUAUUCGGAAUCAUUGGGCGUAAAGAGCACGUAGGCGGCCUGGUAAGUCAGAUGUGAAAGCCCGGGGCUUAACCCCGGAAGUGCAUUUGAUACUGUCAGGCUUGAGUAUGGGAGAGGGAAGUGGAAUUCCUGGUGUAGAGGUGAAAUUCGUAGAUAUCAGGAGGAACACCGGUGGCGAAGGCGACUUCCUGGACCAAUACUGACGCUGAGGUGCGAAGGCGUGGGUAGCAAACAGGAUUAGAUACCCUGGUAGUCCACGCAGUAAACGUUG